GUGGGGAAUCUUGCGCAAUGGGCGAAAGCCUGACGCAGCCAUGCCGCGUGGAUGAUGAAGGUCUUAGGAUUGUAAAAUCCUUUCACCGGUGAAGAUAAUGACUGUAGCCGGAGAAGAAGCCCCGGCUAACUUCGUGCCAGCAGCCGCGGUAAUACGAAGGGGGCUAGCGUUGCUCGGAAUUACUGGGCGUAAAGGGAGCGUAGGCGGACAUUUAAGUCAGGGGUGAAAUCCCGAGGCUCAACCUCGGAACUGCCUUUGAUACUGGCUGUCUUGAGUACGGGAGAGGUGAGUGGAACUCCGGGUGUAGAGGUGAAAUUCGUAGAUAUUCGGAAGAACACCAGUGGCGAAGGCGACUCACUGGCCCGUUACUGACGCUGAGGCGCGAAAGCGUGGGGAGCAAACAGGAUUAGAAACCCGGGUAGUCC
rnacentral:rRNA from 1 species